GCCACUGUAGCUCAGUUGGUAGAGUGGUCGCCUUGUAAGCGAUUGGUCGCCGGUUCAAAUCCGGCCAGUGGCU
rnacentral:tRNA from 1 species